AGAAUUUUAAGUUAAGAAAACUAAUAGCCUUCAAAGCUAUAAAUAAGAACAGUCUUAAAUUCUG
rnacentral:tRNA from 1 species